rnacentral:tRNA from 1 species
AGAAAGUUAGUCUAGCCAAGACAGUUGAUUUCGACUCAACAGACCACAACUAACCCUGUGACUUUCUC